CAGCAGGUAAUGGUCAUCUUUUGCCAUCAUUCACGCAAAUAAUAUGAAGUAACAAGGAUGAGCAAUUAUCUCUAUGGAUGGCCAAGAUCAAUGAAACAAACAGCAGCAGAUGCUCCGGAGGCUAUGGAAAAAAGAGACAUUUGAGACUCCUCAUGAUGAGCAACAAGAACCUCCCAGUCUACAGAACAUGGCAACCAACUGAGCUGCCUCCCAACUCUGCAACUUCUUCUCAACCAAAUUUAGUUCUCAAAAUCAGCAAGUCUGAGUAACUCACCCUUGUUUGUUCUGUUACAGUAACUUUAAUCUGA